GACGAACGCUGGCGGCGUGCUUAACACAUGCAAGUCGAACAGAAAGGCCCUGCUUUUGUGGGGUGCUCGAGUGGCGAACGGGUGAGUAACACGUGAGUAACCUGCCCUUGACUUUGGGAUAACUUCAGGAAACUGGGGCUAAUACCGGAUAGGAGCUCCUGCUGCAUGGUGGGGGUUGGAAAGUUUCGGCGGUGGGGGAUGGACUCGCGGCUUAUCAGCUUGUUGGUGGGGUAGUGGCUUACCAAGGCUUUGACGGGUAGCCGGCCUGAGAGGGUGACCGGCCACAUUGGGACUGAGAUACGGCCCAGACUCCUACGGGAGGCAGCAGUGGGGAAUAUUGCACAAUGGGCGGAAGCCUGAUGCAGCAACGCCGCGUGCGGGAUGACGGCCUUCGGGUUGUAAACCGCUUUCGCCUGUGACGAAGCGUGAGUGACGGUAAUGGGUAAAGAAGCACCGGCUAACUACGUG
rnacentral:rRNA from 1 species